rnacentral:rRNA from 1 species
UACGUAGGGUGCGAGCGUUGUCCGGAAUUAUUGGGCGUAAAAGGGCUCGUAGGCGGUUUGUCGCGUCGGGAGUGAAAUCCACUGGCUUAACUGGUGGCUUGCUUUCGAUACGGGCAGACUGGAGGUAUGCAGGGGGAGAACGGAAUUCCUGGUGUAGCGGUGAAAUGCGCAGAUAUCAGGAGGAACACCGGUGGCGAAGGCGGUUCUCUGGGCAUGUCCUGACGCUGAGGAGCGAAAGUGUGGGGAGGCGAACAGG